AGAGUUUGAUCCUGGCUCAGGAUGAACGCUGGCGGCGUGCCUAAUACAUGCAAGUCGAGCGAACAGAUAAGGAGCUUGCUCCUUUGAAGUUAGCGGCGGACGGGUGAGUAACACGUGGGUAACCUACCUAUAAGACUGGGAUAACUUCGGGAAACCGGAGCUAAUACCGGAUAACAUUUAGAACCGCAUGGUUCUAAAGUGAAAGAUGGUUUUGCUAUCACUUAUAGAUGGACCCGCGCCGUAUUAGCUAGUUGGUAAGGUAACGGCUUACCAAGGCGACGAUACGUAGCCGACCUGAGAGGGUGAUCGGCCACACUGGAACUGAGACACGGUCCAGACUCCUACGGGAGGCAGCAGUAGGGAAUCUUCCGCAAUGGGCGAAAGCCUGACGGAGCAACGCCGCGUGAGUGAUGAAGGGUUUCGGCUCGUAAAACUCUGUUAUUAGGGAAGAACAAAUGCGUAAGUAACUGUGCACAUCUUGACGGUACCUAAUCAGAAAGCCACGGCUAACUACGUG
rnacentral:rRNA from 1 species